UUCAAUGACCAUACCACGUUGAAAGCACCGGUUCUCGUCCGAUCACCGCAGUUAAGCAACGUUGGGCCCGGUCAGUACUUAUUCAAUGAAACAGGUAUUAUUUUAC
rnacentral:rRNA from 1 species